CGCACCUUGCGCUCCUUGGUAUUCCGAGGAGCAUGCCUGUUUGAGUGUCAUAAACCUCUCAAACCCAAGUUUUGGAUUUAUCCUUGCUUGAGUUUGGAUUUGGGUGUUUGCCAGUGAUGAACUGACUCACCUUAAAAGUAUUAGCUAGAUCUGUCUUUGACUGGUUUGACUUGGCAUAAUAAGUAUUUUGCUAAGGACAUCUUCGGAUGGCCAGGACUUGACUUUUGUCUGCUUACUAAACCUUACUUUAAGUGCAUCUCUGGUGUUACUUAUAGUAUUACUUUGACAUAUGGCCUCAAAUCAGGUAGGACUACCCGCUGAACUUAA
rnacentral:misc_RNA from 1 species